UAUAGAAAAAAAUGUGGCAUUGCAUUGAGUCGCAACUGCUCGUGCCAAAAGUGUUUUUCCGUUUCCUGGGGGUCCAAACAGCAAGAGUCCUCGAGAUGGAGUUCGCAGGCCUGUAAAUAAUUCGGGUCGCAGUGAAGGACGUUCCUCAGAAACGUCUUCACUCUCAUGGUCUGAUCCUUGAUUCUGGCUGGCAAUCUCCAUCUUUUUCAGCUCGCAAACACUCACUACAAAAUAAAAAGAAAAAAAAGAGAAAAACAUUCCCCGCCAUGCUGCGCAACACGACUACAACAACAACAACAACGCAAUUAACAUAAUUGCAGAGCGAAAUUUCAUGUACUUUUCUACGAUUUCCAAAAAAGGCCUCAACGAAUUGUUUCGAAACAUUAUGUGAAGGAGAGAAAAUGGAACUUUAAAGAAUCGAUAAGGAAUUUAGGUUUCGGUAAUUAAAAGUCAAUGGUUUGGAAAUCGAAGAAAACUUGUUUUUCAAUAAGGAAUAUAAGCA